AUGCAUGUUUUUUUACUGAAGAAUGUGUUUGUUUUAGAUAAUUGUGUUUUGAUUUUCAUAUUUUGUGUAAUUGUUGACUAUAUAGACAUGUGUAGUGUAAUUGAUUACUAUAUAGACAUGUAUAGUGUAAUUGAUGACUAUAUUGACAUGUAUAGUGUAAUUGAUGACUAUAUAGACAUGUGUAGUGUAAUUGAUGACUAUAUAGACAUGUAUAGUGUAAUUGAUGACUAUAUAGACAUGUAUAGUGUAAUUGUAAACGCCGCCCGAACAAGUAGGGACCGACGUCACGCCCUGACCAUAGAGAGCUUUUUAUUCUCUAUGUUGGUUAGGUCGGGGUGUGAUUAAGGGUGGGUUAUCUAGCUGAAUUAUAUUUCUAUGUUGGCCUGGUAUGGUUCCCAAUCAGAGGCAGCUGUUUUUCGUUGUCUCUGAUUGGGGAUCAUAUUUAGGUAGCCAUUUCCCCAUUGAGCUUUGUGGGAUCUUGUCUAGGUAGAGUUGCCUGCGAGCACUACUCUGAGCUUCAUGUUUCGUUUAUUCGCUUUAUUGUUUUUGUUCGUUAAGUUUUUCUUCCAAGUAAAAGGAUGGAAACAUACCACGCUGCAUCUUGGUACAGUUAUUAUGACGAAUGUGACACCUACAUGGCAAUAUUUGUGAUAAUUAAGGAGAACUAAAACGGCAUAGCCUACAUUUGAACAUUGUCACGAUCGGCGUAUGAAUAAUUGGACCAAGGCGCAGUGUGAGUAGAGUUCCACAUUUGAAUGAUAGUGAAACUUCCAAAACAACAAAGACAACAAUCGUGAAAUAUGUAGCGCACAUAGGCACUCAUACAAAACAAUAUCCCCCCCUAGCAGGUGGGAAAAAAGGACACACUAAGUGUGUAACGAUUAUCAGCUGCCUCCAAUUGGGAACCAUACACACACACACCAACAUAGAAAUAUAAUACCUAGAAACCCCCCCUAGUCACGCCCUGACCUAUUACACCAUAGAAAACCCAGAGGGCUCUCUAUGGUCAGGGCAUGACAAACACCACCACAGAAGCUUCACUAUUCGAUAUCUUCCCAAUUAAGUAACCUAGUUUUGUUGUUUGGCUACUUGAACAGAACAAGGGCCGAUGACUCACAGCCCACCUCUUCCAAUGCAUUGAGGAAACGUGUGCAUCUAAUUCUACUAGAUCAGGUAUUCUCAAACAAAAAAAAUGUAUCCUCACAUUUUCAAACAGUCCAUUUAUAUUUUUCAAUGGGGCUAUACAUUUGGGUGAGUUUUUUUUCUCGCCCGAGUAGCCUCGUUUCACUGGCAAAAAUAAAAUUAAACCAUCUACUGUUCAGUGAAAUAACAACACAAUGUCAAAUACAGGUAGUCUAGUCAAAUAAUAAACAUCCAAUCACAUUAACCAUUACUCUCUUGCGGGAAUUCCACUAAAGGUCCGUAUGUAGCCAAACGUAGCUGCUGCUCAUGUUGGUAUCUGUACUGAUGGCGCAAAAGCCAUGACAGGGAGACAUAAUGGGGUGGUAACGCGAGUGCAAGCAGUUGCUCCCGACGCCACUUGGGUAUGCUGCAGCAACCACCGAGAGGCUCUUGCUGUCAAAGGAAUGCCUGACAGCUUGAAAGACGUUUUGGACACUACAGUGAAAACAGUUAACUUUGUUAACAAGGCCCCUGAACUCUUGUGUAUUUUCUGCACUAUGCAAUGAUAUGGGCAGCUGUCAUGCCCUGGCCUUAGAGGGCCUUUUUAUUUCUCUAUUUGGUUAGGUCAGGGUGUGAUUUGGUGGGCAUUAUAGUUUUUCUAUUUCUUUGUUGGCCAGGUAUGGUUCCCAAUCAGAGGCAUCUGUCUAUCCUUGUCUCUGAUUCGGGAUCAUACUUAGGCAGCCGUUUUCCACCUUUAGUUUGUGGGAUCUUGUUUGUGUGUAGUUGCUUUCUGCACUGCAUGUAGCUUUACGUGUGUUGUGUAUUUUGUUGUUUUUUCAGUGUCAUUUAAUAAAAGAUAGAUGUACGCCUACCACGCUGCACCUUGGUCUAAUUCUUCCAUCAACGAACGUGACAGCAGUGACCAUGUAACGCUUUUACAACAUACACUUCUAGGUCACACCCCUCACUUCUAUGUCUCACCCUGACCUAGAAGUGCGCUGGUUAUCAAGGGGCAAAGUAUUGACAUGUUUUCUUUUAUUGAGAGACGAGCUUAAAGAUUAAAAACAUAAUUCCACUUUGACAUUAUGGUGUAUUGUGUGUAGGCCAGUGCCAACAAAAAUUCAAUUGAAUCCAUAUUAAAUUCAGCCUGUAACACAAACAAAUGUGGUAAAAAUCAAGGGGUGUGAAUACUUUCUAAAGGUGCUGUACGUGUUCCUGAGAGUCUCCUCUUUCAGUAAAGGGGUCAUCAUAUUUUGAAGUUUAAAAAGAUAGAGACACAUUCGUAAGAAGAAAAAAAGAAACUACUCUGUUUACUACAACCGCAUCUAGCGGCUACCUGAGGUUACUGAUGUAACCCCGGUUCUAUAUACCCAGCGCGCAAUUGUAUUUAUUUUAUUUCAGAGUUUCUCUCGCUACCCCAUUUUCAAAUCAGGCGACCCCUAGUUUGGAAAAACCUGAUCUAGGUCCUCCCUCUCUCAGAAUCAGAAUCACGUAAUUCGCCUACUACAUUGACUUAGUGAAUAGGUUCUGCCAGCAACAGACAAUGUACAAACAGAAGACAGACAUAUAGUCAACAUACAGAAUAUACAAUAUAAAUACAGUAAACAAAAAACUCUGAAGUAGAAGUAUAUUGAUUUACAUACAGUACACUCAGCACAUCCUUCUGAUUCAUAUGCCAUUUUGCAUUGUUAUCCAAAGCAACUUAAAGUAGUGAGUGCAUACAUUUUCUUAUUUCUGGCCCCAACAACAGGAAUCAGACACACUAUCUUGAUGUUUAAAGCACCAUACUCUGCCAGCUGUGCCACACAGGACCACGGGUGGGUCUGGGCUUUGAACUUUUGGCGGGUGGCCACUUCUCUGGGGUUUGACAAGCCUUUCUGCCACCUUGUCACAAAGCACUUCCAAUCUCUCAACCAGAGUGACUCUUAUGUAAAACAGGUAAAUGCCACCAUGGGCCAUUAGUCCUUCAUUGAUUCUGGAGUUCUCCGCGCACUCGGUACAGUAGCAAGGUAAACAGUAACCCUGUGUGGCUAGGAGAGAAAACCCAAACACCAGGAAGAGGG
rnacentral:lncRNA from 13 species